rnacentral:tRNA from 1 species
AGCAGCGUGGCUUAGUGAAAAGAGCUCGGACCUGGUAGUCAGAGACCUGAGUUCUAAUCCCAGCUCUGCCA